UACGUAGGUGGCAAGCGUUGUCCGGAUUUACUGGGCGUAAAGGGCGUGCAGGCGGUCUGUUAAGUCUAGGGUGAAAGCUCCCGGCUCAACUGGGAGAGGUCCUUGGAUACUGGCGGACUUGAGGGAGGCAGAGGAAAGUGGAAUUCCCGGUGUAGUGGUGAUAUGCGUAGAUAUCGGGAGGAACACCCGUAGCGAAGGCGGCACUCUGGGCCGGAACUGACGCUGAGGAGCGAAAGCGUGGGGAGCAAACAGG
rnacentral:rRNA from 1 species